GCCAGUGUAGCUCAACGGACAAGAGCAGCUGUGUCGUAAGCAGACGGUUGGGGGUUCAAAUCCCUCCACUGGCUCCA
rnacentral:tRNA from 2 species